rnacentral:lncRNA from 1 species
AAGGAGAAUUUAAUAUAUGGAUCUGCACCAUAUGUGAAAGAAGAGCUGAGAAGUUAAAAAGAACACAGGGAGAUAUUCUGGGGAUUAGAAACAACACAAAACAGUCACAACCAUCUGGAAUGGGAGGGAUGCAAGAGGAGGUAGUUACCAUAACUAUAGAGCAGGAAUCAGAAUCACACCUCUGUAGAGACAACUUGACAGAAGCUAGAAUAUCAAAGGAUGGAACUCUCUGGUAGAGGAUAUGUUGGUUUAUGUUACUGAAGAGGCUAAGGGUAAGACCAUUUUCAGUGUGGCUUUAUUUUGUUAAAGCAAUGUGACCAGACCCUGGUUUAUCCUUCUCAACUUUUCUUUCCUGGUUUUGCUUAUGAUUCUUAGGUCAGCUCAAUCUCUUGGCCCCGAAACGGCAGCCAGAAGCUUUUGCAUGCUCUCUUGUUCUUAUACUACAUGGGAAAAGAAAGAGCUUCCAUCAUCAGUCAUUUAAAGAAAAAUUGGACCUCAUUCAGACAGAAACAGCUGAAGACAGCAUAGAGAUGUUCACUAACCAGUCCACGAAUACCCAGCCAGAAGGUGAAAGAGCUGGAAACGGACCUCACACAUUUCAACACCACAGGACUAUUCUUGACAUCUAUGCCAAGUUAUCUAUUGUGAAACUAGUGAAAUAAUUGAAUAAAAGUUAUUCUUGAUUUAAAAAAUCAUCUGGCCUUAUAUUUCAUUUACCACAUCUUGUGGCCAAAUUGUCACUUCCCAAUAUCAGC